UGUAAAUGAUAAAAUGUUUUUAUCCUUUCAGAUUUUGAAGAUAUGAGUUGUGAUAUGCUGUAUGGUCAAACACCUCCGCCAUUUGAGGAAGAUCCUGUGUCAAAGCAGCCUUGUUUUGCCAGCAUCUGUUCUUUGGCUAAUCCCAGCACCCCAGUUUGCCAUAAAUUAUACAAUUGAAGUACAUUGAGCUCUUAAAACACCCAAGAUAUGGUGAAGGGAAAAGCAAAAGAAAAAAUCAUCAUUGAAUUACAUUUCAGAAUUAGUUUAAUUUGAGAAGGCCCAGAAUUAGCUCACCUUGAGUUCAGAUCGGCUCAAAUAAUCCGAUUAUUUGUGCUGAGCUAAAUCUGGGUUUAUAGGCUAGCUCGAUCCGAGUCAAAUGCCAGUUUGAUUUUGAUCAAUUUUCACUUCUCUAAUACAUAAUCUUGAUGCAACAUUGGUCCAUGUAAAUGUAUAUUCUUUAUGUAUUUAUGAAGAGAAUUUGUGUACUGUUCACACGCUGA